rnacentral:rRNA from 1 species
UGGGACGCUUGUCCGCUUUCCAAUACAAGUUCCAUUCGUGGACAUGACUUUUUAUUAUCUGGCCUCAAAUCAGGUAGGACUACCCGCUGAACUUAAGCAUAUCAAUAAGCGGAGGAAAAGAAACUAACAAGGAUUCCCCUAGUAACGGCGAGUGAAGCGGGAAGAGCUCAAAUUUGAAAUCUGGUAGCCUCAGGCUAUCCGAGUUGUAAUCUAUAGAUGCGUUUUCCGCGCUGGCCCAUGUACAAGUGCCUUGGAAUAGGCUGUCAUAGAGGGUGAGAAUCCCGUCCCUGACAUGGACUACCAGUGCUUUGUGAUACGUAUUCAACGAGUCGAGUUGUUUGGGAAUGCAGCUCAAAAUGGGUGGUAAAUUCCAUCUAAAGCUAAAUAUUGGCGAGAGACCGAUAGCGAACAAGUACCGUGAGGGAAAGAUGAAAAGCACUUUGGAAAGAGAGUUAAACAGUAUGUGAAAUUGUUGAAAGGGAAACGAUUGAAGUCAGUCGUGUCUAUUGGACUCAGCCGGUUCUGCCGGUGUACUUCCUUUAGACGGGGUCAACAUCAGUUUUGAUCGCUGGAAAAGGGCUGGAGGAAUGUAGCACUCUCGGGUGAACUUAUAGCCUUCAGUCGUAUGCAGUGGUUGGGACUGAGGAACGCAGCACGCCUUUAUGGCCGGGGUUCGCCCACG